rnacentral:rRNA from 1 species
UACGGAGGAUGCAAGCGUUAUCCGGAAUGAUUGGGCGUAAAGGGUCUGUAGGUGGUUGUUCAAGUCUGCUGUUAAAGCGUCUGGCUUAACCAGAUAAAGGCGGUGGAAACUGAACGACUAGAGUGCGGUAGGGGUAGAGGGAAUUCCCAGUGUAGCGGUGAAAUGCGUAGAUCUUGGGAAGAACACCUGUGGCGAAGGCGGCCAGCUAGACCAGUUCUGACACUGAGGCGCGACAGCGUGGGGAGCAAACAGG